rnacentral:rRNA from 1 species
GUGGGGAAUUUUGGACAAUGGGCGCAAGCCUGAUCCAGCAAUGCCGCGUGCAGGAAGAAGGCCUUCGGGUUGUAAACUGCUUUUGUACGGAACGAAACGGUCCUGGCUAAUAUCCGGGGCUAAUGACGGUACCGUAAGAAUAAGCACCGGCUAACUACGUGCCAGCAGCCGCGGUAAUACGUAGGGUGCGAGCGUUAAUCGGAAUUACUGGGCGUAAAGCGUGCGCAGGCGGUGCUGUAAGACAGGCGUGAAAUCCCCGGGCUCAACCUGGGAAUUGCGCUUGGGACUGCAGUGCUGGAGUACGGCAGAGGGGGAUGGAAUUCCGCGUGUAGCAGUGACAUGCGUAGAUAUGCGGAGGAACACCGAUGGCGAAGGCAGUCCCCUGGGCCUGUACUGACGCUCAUGCACGAAAGCGUGGGGAGCAAACAGGAUUAGAUACCCGAGUAGUCC